rnacentral:RNase_P_RNA from 2 species
GAAGCUGACCAGACAGUCGCCGCUUCGUCGUCGUCCUUUCGGGGAGACGGGCGGAGGGGAGGAAAGUCCGGGCUCCAUAGGGCAGGGUGCCAGGUAACGCCUGGGGGGGAAACCUACGACCAGUGCAACAGAGAGUAAACCGCCGAUGGCCCACGCAAGUGGGAUCAGGUAAGGGUGAAAGGGUGCGGUAAGAGCGCACCGCGCGGCUGGUAACAGUCCGUGGCACGGUAAACUCCACCCGGAGCAAGGCCAAAUAGGGGUUCAUAAGGUACGGCCCGUACUGAACCCGGGUAGGCUGCUUGAGCCAGUGAGCGAUUGCUGGCCUAGAUGAAUGACUGUCCACGACAGAACCCGGCUUAUCGGUCAGUUUCACCU